GAGAUAGUUCCACUAACCCAUUAGAUGGAUGGCUUGGUUCAUGACAGCGAAGAAGAGUGUAGCAAGCUGCAGUAAGCUUAGGGGAGGCGCAAGCAGCCUUAGAACCUAAGAUUCUUCAAUAGGACUUCCUCUUAGAUUCCGAAAGGAAAGCGAACGUAGGGAACUGAAGCAUCUAAGUACCUACAGGAAGAGAAAUCAAAUCGAGAUAUCGUUAAUAUCAGCGAGAAAAAACGAUAAAAGGCAAACCGAAUCCUUUAUAGCGAUAUAAAGAGAAAUGUGGGGUUAAGGAUCUUUUUUUAGUUCUUUUUAUAAAACUCGAAUUUUUCUGGAAUGAAAGGCCAUAGAGAGUGAUAGCCUCGUAAAGAAUCUAUAAAAAGAAUGUAAAGAUAUCCUGAGUAAGACUAGCCGGAUACCUAGUUUGAAUGUAGGAGACAUCAACUUCUAACCUUAAAUAUGUCUUGAAACCGAUAGCGUACUAGUACCGUGAGGGAAAGCUGAAAAGAACCCGUAAUAGGGAGUUAAAAGAACCUGAAAUCUAAUGGGGAUAGUAUGCUACUGCUUUUAGGAGUUGUAGCGUACGUUUCGAAUAACGGGCCUGGGAGUGUAAUUGAGUGGCAAGGGUAAAUUAUUAAUAAUGGACCCAUAGGGAAACCAAAUACUUGCAGUCUUUGACGAGAAGUAAAGUAUGAAAGUGCUUAUAGUCACUUGGUUACGACCCGAAUCUGGGCGAUCUAAGCCUGAGCAAGGUGAAGUAAACUUUAUUGUUUAUGGAGGCCUGAAGAGGUACUGUGUACAAGCGUUCUUCUGACUUGGGUUUAGGGGUGAAAUGCUAAUCGUGCCCAGUAAUAGCUGGUUCCUGUCGAAGUAGGCCGCAGUCUAGUGUCAACAGAGAUAGUUGCAGUGGUAUAGCUACGGAUUAAAAAUUAGGGGAAGAAAUUCCUCGAUUUUUUGUCCAACUCAGAAUGCUUCAACAUCGUAGAAGUUGGCAAACGGCUGUACCGGGGUAAACUUGUACAGCGAGAGGGGAACAACCCAAGCCUAUAGUUAAGGUCCUUAAAUACUAACUAAGUGUUAAAGGUUAAAAAGUGUGUAUACUCUAAGACAGCGGGAAGGUCGGCUUAGAAGCAGCCACCCUUUAAAGAAAGCGUAACAGCUCACCUGUCAAGAGUAUAUGCCUUGUAAAUGGACGGGGCUAAGUUAGUUACCGAUACUAUAGAUUACAUAUAUUAUGUAGAUAGUAGACAGGUGUAUUUAGAGGAUAGAAGUUUGUCUUAAAGGAUAAAUGGACCUCUAAAUAAUAAGAAUCCAGGCGUUAGUAGGAGCUAUCCAGAGUGAGAAUCUCUGGCACCGAAAGGGCAAGGGUUUCUUGGCCAUGCAGAUCAGCCAAGAGUUAGUCAGUCCUAACUGUUAUCUUAACAGAAAAACGGGAAAGGGAAAAAGGUUAAUAUUCCUUUACUAAUUAAAUACGCGUGGCAACACAAGCUUAAUUUCUGAUACUUCGGGUUAGAUCAACAUUAAUCAUCGUUAAUGUUAAUUAAAUCAAAUCAGUGGAGAAUCAUAAUGAUGAGAAACUGAUUAAAUUUAAGAAUAGCCAUGCAAAUGGUUUGAUCAAUACCUGGAGUCCGUGAAAAAGAAAUUAAGAAGGAUUUUAAUUAACUGUACCUAGAACCGACACAGGUGUCCCUAGGUGAGAAGCCUAAGGUGUGAGGGAUUAAUCCAACUAAGGGAACUCGGCAAAUUAGUCCCUUGUCUUCGGUCUAAGGGAUCCCUGUGGUUGUAUUCGUAUGAAUGCAACUACAAGGCGCAGUGACUAAAGGUGUCCGACUGUUUACCAAAAACACAGCUUUCCGCAAGUCCGAAAGGAUGUGUAUGGGAAGUCACGUCUGCCCAGUGCUAGUACCUCAAACUCCUUUUCAAGGGAGCUAAGGGCUAGUAAACGGCGGGGAUAACUAUAAUUCUCUUAAGGUAGCGUAAUACCUUGCCAAUUUAAUGUUGGCUUGCAUGAAUGGCGUAACGAGAUACCUACUGUCCCUAGUUGGAACCCCCUGAAUACACUAUUCUGGUGCAAAGGCCAGAGACUCCUAGUGGGAAGUAAAGACCCCGUGAAGCUUUACUGUAGCUUGUUGUUGUGAUAUGGAUUUUAAUGUGUAGCGUAGGUGGUAGUUGCUAAAGCUCAGGCGCUAGUUUGAGUGUAGACAUCAAUGAAACACCACUCUUUAGAAUUUGUAUCACUAACUUUCCAAAAGAAAGGACAGCAGUAGGUGGACAGUUUGGCUGGGGCGGCACCCCGCGGAAAAGGUAUCCGUGGGGCCCAAAGGUCAGCUCAAGAGGUUUAGAAAUCCUCUGUAGAGUGCAAGAGCAAAAGCUGGCUUGACUGUGCUCUGAACAGCAAGGAGCUCAGAAAGGAAACUUAGGUCUAGCGAACCCUUAUGCCCUCUUGAUGGGGGCUAAGUAUGACAGAAAAGCUACUCCGGGGAUAAUUGAGUUGUCACGCCCGAGAGUUCAUAUCUACGGCGUGGCUUGCCACAUCGAUGUCGGCUCUUCGCAACCUGGUCGUGCAGCAGCGACCAAGGGUGGGGGUGUUCACCCAUUAAAGCGGAUCGUGAGCUGGGUUCAAUACGUCGCGAGACAGUAUGUUCAAUAUCUGCUAGGAGUGUUUGGUAUCUGAAGGGAAGGAGCUUUUAGUACGAAAGGAACGGAGCCUCGGUGCCUCUGGUCUAUCGGUUGUCUGACAAGGCAGAUCGAGCAGCUACGCACCAAGAGAUAACAGCUGAAAGCAUCUAAGCUGGAAACUCACCUUAAAAAGAGAUACCAUCUAAGAGCACUUGAAAAACACAAGGUUAAUAGAAUUGGGGUGUAAGUAUCAAGGCAACAAGAUAUUCAGCCUGCAAUUACUAAUCGCUCAAGGAAUCUUCUCU
rnacentral:rRNA from 1 species